rnacentral:misc_RNA from 1 species
AGGAAUAGCAACUGAUUCAAGUCCAGUGACCUUACUAGGGGCAUUUAAAGCCGCAAAUUUUCAGAACAUAAUCCAGGCUUGGAUUUUAGCACAUAAACUAUUAUGGAGAGAAUUGGUCUUAGUUCUGGUUUAGAUAGAAUCAGUGAUCUUCCAAGCAAUGUAAUAGACCACAUCCUCGCAUGUUUGCCAUUAAAAGAUGCUGUGAGGACCAGUACCUUGUCAAAGAAUUGGAGGGAAAAAUGGCAUGCGGUGCCGCAUAUUAUAGUUGAUGAGAACUUUUUUCAUGAAAGGUCACAACGGAAGCUUGAGGGUAUAAUCAAUUAUAUCCUUACUAGACAUGAAGGGAAAAUUGAGAAAUUUUCUGUGUCUAUUGAAAA